CCCUUAGAUGUCCGGGGCCGCACGCGCGCUACACUGAAGGAAUCAGCGUGGCUUUCUCCCUGACCCGAAAGGGUUGGGAAACCCGUUGAAUCUCCUUCGUGAUAGGGAUUGGGGCUUGAAAUUGUUCCCCAUGAACGAGGAAUUCCCAGUAAGCGCGAGUCAUAAGCUCGCGUUGAUUACGUCCCUGCCCUUUGUACACACCGCCCGUCGCUCCUACCGAUUGGGUGUGCCGGUGAAAUGUUCGGAUCGGCCGUUUGUCGCGGUUUCCGCGUCAUGUGGCUGAGAAGUUCAUUAAACCCUCCCACCUAGAGGAAGGAGAAGUCGUAACA
rnacentral:rRNA from 1 species